UCGCAUUAAAAUAAGAGCAAGUGGUGGAUGCCUUGGGUUGAAGAGGCGAUGAAGGACGUGGUAUGACUGCGAAAAGCUUCGGGGAGCCGUCUAGCGGGCUUUGAUCCGGAGAUGUCCGAAUGGGGAAACCUAUGAGCGCAAAACGCUCAUACCUCACGUUUUGCUUUAAGUACUAAAUCCCGGUUUCUAAUUUCUAAACAAAUUCCAAAUUCUAAUAUCUCAAACGUGUUUAGAGUUUAAAGAAUUGGAAUUUAGAUAUUGUUUAGGAUUUAGGAUUUCGAAUUUAGGAUUUUGAGCAGAACGCGAGGAGCGUACCUCGGGAAGUAAAACAUUUCAGUACCGAGAGGAAAAGAAAACAAGCGCUCAACUUCGUCUCGCUAAUGCGAUACUAAUAUACUGAUGCGUACCCAUGAUACAAAUAAUACGAAUUCGUAUCCAUUAGUAUCAUUCGUAUUAAUUCGUAUAUUGGUAUCGUGUUAGCGAGCGGAUGCGAGCGGUAUUCCCGUAGUAGUGGCGAGCGAACUGGGAACAGCCAAAACUAUAUUGUGCGCGCAAGCGCACGAUAUGGGGUUGCGGGGUUGUAUAUAUUCAUGCGUUUAUUGGUAGAAGAACAACCUGGAAAGGUUGGCCAGAGAACGUGAUAGCCGUGUAUUUGAAACUAACACGACGCGUGAGUACAAUUCCCUAGUAUCCCGACACAUGAAAAAGUCGGGAGAAUCAGGCAGAACUAUACUGCCAAGGCUAAAUACUCUUCAACACCGAUAGUGAACUAGUACCGUGAGGGAAAGGUGAAAAGUACCCCGGUGAGGGGAGUGAAAUAGUACCUGAAACCACUAUGCUUACAAGGACACAGAGCUCUUGUGCUUCGCACAAGGAAAUUCUAAGCACGAAGCACGAAAUCCGAAACAAAUUCAAAAUCAUAAAUUCAAAACAGCUUUUGGUUUAGAUAUUUGAAUUUAAAUAUUGUUUAGGAUUUCGGAUUUUCCGCCGAAGGCGGAUCAGCCUCUGGCUGAAGAAUUUAGGAUUUUCUCGUGCGGAGCACGGGUGAUGUGGUGCCUAUUGAAGAAUGAGCCAACGAGUGUUUGUCGCCGCUUCAUCUAAUCCCGUUCAGCGGGAGGAGGUAAAGCGAAAGCGAGUGUGAAUAACGCGUGGUAUAUAUGUCUCUCUACGUAGCGGCAUAUGUACAAAGCGGCGGCUAACGACCCGAAGCCAAUCGAGCUACCCCUGGGCAGGAUGAGCUUUGUAGAAAUACAAGGGGAGGUCCGAACCCGUAAGCCGUUCAACACUUUGGGAUGACCUGGGGGUGGAAGUGAAAAGCUUAACGCGAUUGGGAAUAGCUGGUUCUCUCCGAAAUAGUUUUUCGACUAGCGUCCGUCUAAAUCGGUUUCGCAGGUAGAGCACUAGUUGAGACAGAUAGGGAGCAAUCUCACUGCCUCAGUUAAACUCCGAAUGGCGGAACCGUUGAUGGGCAGUCAGACUGUGGGGGCUAAGCUUCACAGUCAAAAGAGCAAGAACUCAGACUCUCGUCUAAGGUCCCUCAAUUAUGACUCAGUGUGAAAGGUAGUGAUCAACCGAUGACAGGUAGGAGGUUGGCUCAGAAGUAGCCAUCCUUUAAAGAGUGUGUAACAACUCACUACCAUAUCCCCGAUGCUUUGCAUCGGUAUGCGGAUUGAUGCUGAUACGACACUUUCGUGUCGCCGCUGAUAAAUGCGGAUAGAAUUAUCCGUAUAAAUCAGUUAAAAUCAGCAUAAAUCGGCAUUCCGCUGCAGAGCAGCGAGGUUUGGUUGGUUGCGCCGAAAAUGUAACGGGGCUAAGUCAUAUACCGAAGACAGAGAUGCCUUGUGCUUUGCACAAGGAAAUUCGAAGCACGAAAUUCUAAAUUCUAAACAAUAUCUAAAUUUUUAAAUUCUAAACAUCUUUAAAUUUGUUUUGAAUUUUGAGAUUUAUGAUUUUGAAUUUGUUUCGGAUUUAGGAUUUCGGAUUUAGGAUUUCCUCGCGCAGAGCGCGAGGUGUGGUAGGAGAGCAUUUUGCACGCAGCGAAGGAGUAUCCGUGAGGAACUCUGGAGUGUGCAGAAGAGAAAAUGUUGGCAUGAGUAACCUGCAAUCCCGAUGAAAUAUCGGGAGGCCGAAAGUCUAAGGAUUCCUGGACAACGACCAUCGUUCCAGGGUUAGGCGGCCCUAAACCGAUGCCGAAAGGCGAAGGCGAAGGAUAACUGGUUAAUAUUCCAGUCUGUCAUUGCGAGUCGAUGGGAUGACGAAGUAUAGUAGGUUGAGCAUCUUAUUGGAUUGGUGUCCGUUACUUAGGGUGUGCGUUUGGCAAAUCCGGCGCGCUGCAUUUUAUUGCAAACCCAAGGAAAGCGGCCAAGCCCCGCUUUGCGGGGUGAAGUCAACCGAGCAUGCUCCCGAGAAAAGUCCCUAAGAUUACGCGCAAUGACCCCGUACCAAAACCAACACAGGUGGACAAGGCGAGAAGCCUAAGGCCAAUGGGUGAUUGUUCCCUAAGGAACUCGGCAAAAAAGCUAGGCGUACGUUUGCUAGAUGCCUUUCCUGUCUUGUGCUUCGCACAAGGAAAUUCCAAGCACCAAGUACCAAAUAACAAAUAAGCUCCAAAACUGGAAAUUCCAAAAUUCAAAACAGUUUGGAAUUUCAGUAGCUGGAAUUUGUAAUUUACUUGGUAUUUGCCAGCCCGUGGCUGGUCCGCUCUGGCGGAGAGUUUGUAAUUUGGGAUUUUCUCGCGCGGAGCGCGAGAUGGGACGCAGCGAAAGUUUCCAUGGCGACUGUUUACCAAAAACACAGCUCCCUGCGAACUCGUAAGAGGAUGUAUAGGGGGUGAGACCUGACCGAUGCACGAAGGUUAAAGUCGUCGGUCGCGGAGCGACUCGACGCGCGGAAUGACGCAGAACGAACGCGGAAUAACGCAGAAGUAAAAAAUUCUGCGAAUGUCUGCGUAAAAUCUGCGUGUGUCAGCGCGUGAAGCCGCUUCGCGGCUGAAUGACCGAAGCCCGUGUCAAUGUCGGCCUUAACUAUAAGGGUCCAAAGGUGGGAAGACGCACUGCCUUUGUAAAAUCUGGCUAUAUGCUGGAACGUCUGUAGAUAGAAUCUUGUAGUAUCGAGCACUACUAUUUGGUAUAAUGACAAGGCAAACGAUAACCUUGUCUUAUGCGCUAUAGUAAAAAAGUGUCUCGUGCAGACAAUCAGCAGGAAAGAUUUGUAAGAUUUACUGGGUGGAUAGUGGGUUUUGUUGAUGGAGAGGGGUUUUUUCUAUCGGAUUUGUUCGGCAAAGUGAUCGAAGGGAAAAAACACGAACAAGAAGGGGCUAUAAGACGGGUUACCAAAUAUUUCAUGAAUUUGCCGUAACCCAAGGAGAGAAAAGUCUCAAAGCCCUUAAAAAGAUUCAGUCCUUCUUCGGGAUUGGCAAAAUCUAUCUGAAUAAGCGAUACGAUAAUCACACAGAACAUUUGUAUCGCUUUGUGGUGAGAAAAAGGGAAGAUUUGUUAAGUGUCAUCAUUCCUGUUUUCAAAGAAAACACAUUGCACACAGCUAAACAUUAUGAUUUUGAGAAAUUUGCAAGAUGUUUGAAUCUUAUGAAACGCGAUAAACAUCUAACGCAAAAUGGAUUAGUGCAAAUUGCUUGAAUAGCUCAGCAGAUGAACCGUAAAAGACCUGGAAGAAAUCUUACAAAAAUCCUCAGAGACCAUACGCCAAACCCUGUUUAAAGCAGGGAAGAUAUGGUCCGGACUUUGCAGCGAUGCAAAGAGAUAAACAGAAAUGAUUUAUCCCGCCUUUUUACAAGGCGAGUAACAAGUUCAAGCGCAAUUCCUUGUCAGGUGAGUUCUGACGCGCACGAAAGGUUUAACGACUGUGGAACUGUCUCAGGGAAUAGCCCAGUGAAAAUGCGAACCCGGUGAAGACGCCGGAUACCUGCGGCAAGACGAAAAGACCCCGGGAGCUUUACUGGAGCCUGAUAUUGGCUUAUGGGUUUGGAUGCGUAGCGUAGUGGGCAGGCUUUGAAUCUUGCUUUUCGGAGCAAGGGGAGCCAACAAUGAAACACCCAUCUUUCAAAUUUAUAAGCCUAACCAAUGCGGCAAAAACGCAUGGGAACAGUGUUUGGCGGACAGUUUUCGUGGGGCGCGAUCCUCCCAAAGAGUAACGGAGGAACUUAUUAAGGUCAGCUUGGCGAGGAUGGAAAUCUCGCUGGACGUGUAAAGGCGUACGCUGGCUUGACUGCAAGGUUGACAGACCACGCAGGUGCGAAAGCAGAACUUAGUGACCCGAUACGACGUGAUAGAAGGCGUAAAGACACUGGAUAAAAGCUACCCCGGGGAUAGAUCCUGAAAUAAGGAUCAGUUGUCCUCUUCGCCAGUAAUGGCGAAGUAAUAAAGCGGCU
rfam:Parcubacteria group bacterium CG1_02_44_31 cg1_0.2_scaffold_2236_c, whole genome shotgun sequence.